GCCAAGCAGCCGCGGUAAUUCCAGCUCCAAUAGCGUAUAUUAAAGUUGUUGCGGUAAAAAAGCUCGUAGUUGGAUUUCUGUUGAGAGCGACCGGUCCAUACCAUGUAUGCGUAUCUGGCUUGCUCUCGGCAUCCUCUCGAUAGACGUUGCUGCGCUUGAUUGCGUGGCGCGGAUCUCGGGACUUUUACUUUGAGGAAAUUAGAGUGUUCACGGCAGGCUUUCGCCAGAAUACAUUAGCAUGGAAUAAUACUAUAGGAUCUUGGUUCUAUUUUGUUGGUUUCUAGAAUUGAGAUAAUGAUUAAUAGGGACAAUUGGGGGCAUUCGUAUCAACACGUCAGAGGUGGAAUUCUUGGAUUGUGUUGCGACGAACUACUGCGAAAGCAUUUGCCAAGGAUGUUUUCAUUGAUCAAGAACGAAAGUAAGGGGAUCGAAGACGAUUAGAUACCGUCGUAGUCUUUACCAUAAACUAUGCCGACUAGAGAUGGGACAUCGUUCAUUUACGACUUGUUCCGCACCUUAUGAGAUAUCAAAGUCUUUGGGUUCCGGGGGGAGUAUGGUCGCAAGACUGAAACUUAAAGGAAUUGACGGAAGGGCACCACCAGGAGUGGAGCCUGCGGCUUAAUUUGACUCAACACGGGGAAACUCACCAGGUCCAGACAUAAUAAGGAUUGACAGAUUGAUAGCUCUUUCUUGAUUUUAUGGGUGGUGGUGCAUGGCCGUUCUUAGUUCGUGGAGUGAUUUGUCUGCUUAAUUGCGUUAACGAACGAGACCUUAACCUGCUAAAUAGGAGCGCCUAUCUUCGGAUAAGCGUCUUUCUUCUUAGAGGGACUUUAUGCGUUUCAGCAUGAGGAAGUUUGAGGCUAAAACAGGUC
rnacentral:rRNA from 1 species